GUGGAUGUAGCUCAGGGGCAGAGCGCUUGACUGUGGAUCAAGAGGGCGUGGGUUCAAAUCCCAUCAUCCACC
rnacentral:tRNA from 1 species